GAACGACUUUCUAAAUUCACAGAUUAAAAAUUUGAAGCUCAGAGAGUUCAAAGGCCUUACUCAAUGUCAAAGAGCUAGCCUGUGGUCAAGCUUGUAUUAAUUCUAGAUUUGUCAACCCAAGCUUCUGACAGUUUCCUCUGGGAAGCAGUAAAUGUUUUGAGAAUCUCUGAUCAGGCAAAAGGCCUAAGUAUUUAUACAAACUGUGGAGCUAGAGCGGGAGCAGAAAGGUCUGGCAGGGUGAAUGGAGGAAUCAGGAGAGAAAAUGAGGUCAGCUACUUUAACAUCUUUCUUCCAACCAGAAAACCACAGUUCUUGGAAUAAUACCUAUAACACAAAAUUGGUUUCUCUGGGCCAGACAAGAUCUGAGAAAGGAAGAAUUGGGAAGACACUUUCAGAUCUGUAUGAAAAUAAUGAAAGAGAUCUGGUCAGCUGAAAAUCUGAGCAUUAUUUUGACAGACAUGGGAAAUGGGGACUGCACCUGCCUAUCUCACCUGGUUUUUAGUACUUCACUUGCACUGGCUUCUAGCCAUUUUCAACCACGGUAUCAAUGAAGUACAUAGUUAACAUUAAAUGACAAGGUCAUUAUUAAUGUUGUCCUGGAGGGCAGCUGGCCUAGUCCCAAAUCCUGAAUUUGUCAUGUGGAAAUAAAUGAACAUGCAACAUGAAAAACUGCA
rnacentral:lncRNA from 13 species